ACCCCUUCCUUGCAGCUAUUUCCUGGUGGAGCUCAGGAAGAUGCUGGCUUCCUUCUAUGUGUGAGCACGCCUGAGCUGUAGGACACCAUGGGCUCCUGCUGCAGCAUCGUGGAAAGCACUGUUCACCACAUCACAGAGCGAGGUGCAGCCCCUGAAGAUCUGGUUCUGGAGGUCGUUCCUGUGCUUGCAUUUGGGUGUGUCAUUCAGGCAGUGUUUGCAUGGAGUUGUUAAGACCACCAGGAUCAACUCAUUCAAACAUCAAUCCCUGAUCGUGACCACCACAGACGAUGUCACUCAGUGCCCCGUGUACCCUUCUCUUGAACACCUCCAGGAGCAGUGACUCCACUCUUUCCCUGGGCAGCCUAUUCCAAUACCUUCACCACUCUUACCGAGAAGAAAUUUUCUCCUAAUAUGCAACCUGGCUGAACCUCCCCUCGUGCAACUGAAGGCCAUUGCCUCUUGUCCUAUGGACUGGGUUUUCCAGGAACAGGUGAAUGGUGAAUGGCAGACAUAGAUGAGACCCGAGAACCUGAAAGCCACGUGCUACGCCACACCAGGGAGCUGUGUGACCCAUCCAAAGCCCCCACUGGUGGGUAUUUGUUUUCAUGGGAAACUUCCGCUGUCAGGGCCGGUUACGGCAGGAGACCUUGCUCUCAUGAGCUUUAUUUCUGAGAGUGACAGCUCAGCUAUGCAGCUCUAAAUAUAUGUUCCCUGGUCCUGAUGUCCUAUUUAGGUCAAAGCCUGUGCUUUGCCUACAAGAGAGCCGGAGAGUGUAGACUUACCAUUUUGGAUAAUUAGCUGCCUCUGAGGCAGGAAUUAUCUUUAAAAGGAGUUGAGCUGGGGCGGAAAGCUUGUGCCAGAAGUGGGGCCAGAAAAUGCUUGUUUGUUUCUGCGUAUGCAGAUGUGAAUGACUUUUCCUAAUAACUUCUGGGGAAGUAGUAAAUGGAUAGCUGCUUUGCUUUCCCAGCGCUGGGGGCUAUUUGUCAAUCCAGAUUAAGACGGAACAGCAGAAACAAUGGGACACUUGCUAUGACUGAGCCACAUUAUCUUUAAUCUUUCCAGCAAUCUUUUCAGGGAAAGACCUCGCCCUUGAACUCUGUUGUAAUUUACCUGCUGUGCUCAACUCUUUUGUGCUGUCGGAAGGCAUCCCAUGGCUGUGUGAGCAGCUCUGCUGCUGCAAAGCUCUCAGGCAUGUUGGUGGCUGCUGCUGAGCACCCACACUGCUGGGCGGUGGCUGUGGAAUAGGGUGGUAGGGUUGAGGUCUGCAGCCAGAGAAGAGCUGCUGGUGCAGCUGUUCUGCUCCAUGGCUGCAGUAUUCCCAAGCUUCCUGAGCACCGGGGCAUUCAGAAAUGCUUUCAGCUCAAUAGAAACUGCAGUGAAGCUGUGGCUGUUUAGUGUCUGGCUGGGACUGGAGCUGCUCGUUCUAGCAUGCUUUACAUCAGGUGUUUGUGUCAUCUUGCUGCUGCUUGUCCCCUGCAUUCCAGCCAGUACCUUGCUCUUGGGAUCAUAGCCCUGGGCUUCAGCACCAUCUGUGCCUGUUAGGACAUUGGAAGGCAACAUAGGGAGCACGGCCCUUUCCCAAGGCAGGCUGUCGUUCCCCUUCCCCAGCAUGGAUGCUGACUUCAGGAAAGAAGGCUGCUAGGGAUCUCUGAUUCAUGCAUCACUUCUUGGUCCCGAAGAGUGACAUUUGCAACCUGCAAGCUGGACACCUGCACUGGCCCGAUGUCUUUGUGGCUUUGGGCUGCAUUAGCACCAUCUGCCAGGAGAGGAGAGCUUCCAGCACCCACCAAGAGAUGUGGGCAUCAUCAUACCAGGGUGUGCUGGGAAGGACCUGACUUGGGCUUUUGUGUUGGUGGUAUUCCUUCACACAACUUGUCACGUGCUUAUGUUUUUGGAAAAGGCCUGCACACACCAGCCCAUUUCCUGCUCAGCCUCUGCAAAGAGGAUCCUCCUCUUGCCAGCUCUCCAAAUCGGGUUCAGUGCAACUCCCUGAAAGAAAACAUCUCUUGGAGUGGAGAACAUCCUGCAGACAGUGCCCUUGGCAGCUGCAGCAGGGACGAGAAAGGCUCUGCUUAUUUUCAGAAUAGAAAAGUAAACCUGAUGUUGGAAACUUGGUUAAAAUAGAAGCCUUCGUACUGCGGAAGGGUGCAGUGGGUCAAGGCUGUGCCUAUGCUGCUUCUUUCCAACAGAAAUAUUUGGAAACUACCAAAAUUCCCAAGUUUCUGCUCAGCUGAAGCGUUGUGUCAUUAAAAUUCCUCAUUGCUGUU
rnacentral:lncRNA from 7 species